CCAACCCCCCCCUUCCCCCAAUUAUUCAUUCAUUUCAUUUCACUACUCACUCCCUGGAGAACUCUGAAGCAAAGGAACCCUAGCCCUCCAUCAUCGCCACCGUUUCCAGUUCCUCAGCACCGCCACCGUCUCCAAUUCCUCAGCACCGCCGCUUCUUCCUCUUCCCCGUGUCCGGAACCCAGUAAGUCGACAGGUCCUCUUCGGCUCUUCAUCUUAACUCACCAAACCAAAACCCUAGGCUUUCUCUGUAUUUUGCAAUGGUUCUUCCGCAGUGCUGCUGCCAUCCGUGCUGUCGGCGCCGUCCGUGGCCUGGCCCUCUCUUGUAGCUCGGCGUCCUGCUUUCCCGUCAUCCGUCCGACCUCCGUGGCUUCUCUGUUUUGUUGGCUUGAAGCAACUUGAUGCCGUAUCGCCGCUCGCCGUCGUCUCCCCGGUAGCCGUCGUCUCCCUGGUCACCGUCUGUGCCUCCAUCGAAGUUUUCAUUUUGUAGGAAAUUAUUUGACGUAUAUAAGAAUUAAGAAGGAAGAUUAUCUCAACAGCUACUCUGUUGAUUGAUUCUAGUCCCCCACAAGCUUGAAGAGAGGAACCCUUCGUCAUUGGUUUGUUUAUGGCAUUGCAUUAAAAUAUUAUUGUAGUUUGUUUGUUUAUUCAUUGAACUUCCACAAAAUCAGUUGUUUAUGAUCCCCUUUUGUCCAGAGUAAACAAUUCUUGAGUCCUUGCUUAGCUUUAUGUCAGGUGGAUUAUGUGCUGUUAAGUUGUACAAGCAUAAGAUUUCUCCUUGAAUAUAGUAUAUGCAGUCUAAUUUUGAAUUGGUAUAAUUAUACCACAAAGCUAUAAUUAUACCACAAAGCUAUACCAAAGGAACUGGAUUGGUAG